ensembl:lncRNA
AUAUAUAUAUGGUAUAUGGUAUAUAAGGUAUAUGCUGAAAUUAGGUAUGCAGAUGUUGUAAUGAGGUGUAUGGUGAAAUGAGGUAGGCAGAUGUUCUAAUGAGGUAUGUGGUGAAAUGAGGUAUGGAGAUGUUGUAAUGAGGUAUAUGGUGAAAUGAGGUAUACAGAUGUUGUAAUGAGGUAUAUGGUAAAAUUAGGUAUACAGUAUGUUGAGAUGAGGUAUAUGGUGAAAUAAGGUAUACAGAUGUUGUAAUGAGGUGUAUGGUGAAAUGAGGUAUACAGAUGUUGUAAUGAGGUAUAUUGUGAAAUGAGGUAUACAGUAUGUUGAGAUGAGGUAUAUGGUGAAAUGAGGUAUAUGUUGGCAUUUUAAAAGAUAAAGAUCACAUCUUCCUUUACUCUUUACUCUUUAAACUUUGCUUAACGUUUAAUAAAAACUAAAGCUUGGUAUAGUAAAACCUCUGUAAUAUUAUACACUGUAAUAUUAUUCCUCCCUGAAUUGGACCCAGUUAAUACAUUCCUCUCUGUCUUGUUUUUUCUACUGAUCUCAGCCAAUCAGAGCACACUAUACUGGACUUAAUGAAGAAUAAUGUGUAACAUUGGAACAUAAUGUCAUUAUAUUAGUAUUUGAUGGAUGGUGUAAUAAAAAAACAAUUAAAGGGGGUGCACACAUUAACAUUUAGACCUGACUGUAGCCCCAUUAUUUUACAGUACAGUAGUAGCAUUAUGAGUGAAGAUUGUGUACGCGCACGUGUGUGUGUGUGUGUGUGUGUGUGUGUGUGUGUGUGUGUGUGUGUGUGUGUGUGUGUGUGUGUGUGACAGUAAUGUCCUGAAGUGUUUGAGAGGCUGUGUAUGUUAAAAAGGACCUAUACUGAGUGAUAUUCCAUUGACGCAGAGCUGAAAGGGGUUUUAUUCCAUGUUUACAUUCUUCACUUGUUCCAGGAAAUGUUCACACUCAAGCUUUUGAGAGAUCAGACCCAUGAAACCGCACAUUUUACCACAGUACUCAGUGCAUUUUUGAACAGAGAUUGUCCAUUCCACUCAGAUGGCCUUUUCCGUUAAAUCAAAGUCAUUCUUCUGCUCACUGAUCCAUAGUGAGUAAGAAAGGCAGAACAAAAUGGUGGUUCAGAUGAUUCAUAUUUUUUUUUAUCUUACUUUUUAGUCAUUUUUAAACUACUUUAGCCAUGAUUGUUCCGUAUUUCCAAAUACAUCAUUAUAAGUCUACACACAGAAAAUUGUCUGUGUUGAAAUUCACACAGUGAAUUAUCAUAACAGUGCAUGCAUUUUGUAUAUGUACCAUAGGUCUAUAGUUUUUAGCAUAUUUUAUGUAUAUAUAUGAAUUGAAAUAAUGUUUGAAAAGGCAUAUACUGAAAUGAGGUGUAUGAGACAUACAGUAAAAUUAGUUAGGCGCUGUUUAAAUGAAAUGAGGUAUACUGUUACAAAAUGGGAGCAGAGGCAGAAGCAAGAGCAGAUCAACGUCUUUAUUUACCAACAGAAAUCAAGACACAUAAAACGCGAUCUAUACAGGACAAGAUCAUCGAGGUUAAACAGGAAACUAAAGUCGAGGCAUGGAACGAGAGCAGGACACGAAAACAAGACCGCUUAGCAUACGUAACGCGUUCACCAUUACAUUCAUUCGGUUACUAAAGUAAUACUGCGCGAAGUACAAAGUAACACGAGGGCUAUAAAUACCAAACAUAAUCAAGCUAGAUCACAGACAGCUGGGAUCAAUAAUGACACACCCUUGAACAUCAACCAAUGCUUAAACAGGAAGAGAACCAAAACCAAAACAAAGGCACAUGUCCAUAGGCAACAGUUCAAUCUCGUGUACGCCGCCGGUGCAUAUCGACACCGCAGCGCCAUCUGCCGGCGAAAGCGUGACAUAUACAAUGAAAUGAGGUAUACAUUGAAAUUAGUUUUAUGUUUUAAUGAGGUCUGUUUUGAUAUGCGGUAUAUGUUGAAAUUAGACCUGUUGAAACGAAGGAUAUCUUGAGAUAUAUGUUGGAAGGAGAUAUACGUUGGAAUUAGACGCAUGUUGAAAUGUGGUAAUUGCUGAAAUGAUGUAUAUCUUGAGGUGAGGUACAUAUUGAAUUGAGGUAUACAUUGAAAUUAGGCAUAUGUUGAAAUCAGGUAUAUUGUGAGAUGAAUUAAUGUUAAAAUGAGGUAUAUCUUGAGAUGAGGUAUACGUCGAAAUUAGGUAUAUGUUGAAAUGAGGUAUAUCUUGAGAUGAGGUAUACGUUGAAAUUAGGUUUACGUUGAAAUGAGAUCUAUGUUGAGAUUAGAUGUGUGUUGAAAUGAGGAAUGUUUACAUUAAGUUUAUUCUAAAAUGAGGUCCAUAAUCUUUUGAAAUGAGGUAUUGUAUAUGUUGAAAUGAGGUAUAUCUUGAAACGUGGUGUGUGUGUGUGUGUGUUGUGUGUGUGUGUGUGUGUGUGUGUGUGUGUGUGUGUGUAUACUGUAUAUAUAUACAUCGUACAUCAUCCCAACGUCACAAUUUAUUUUAUAGUAACUAUGAAGUGAGUGAAAUUUGGAAAUUCAGAUUUCAUAUUGACCGAACUUGUAAUUAAAGCUAUGACUAACUAACUCCUAACUCCACCCCUAACGCUAACGCUAACCACACCCCGCAUCGUAACCCUUACCCAUGCAGAAAGCGAGGGACAGACGAAAAAGAACGAGUGUGAGACAGAGAUUUGGCGCAAGUGGGGGAUGGGACAAUGGGGGUGGGAUGGGGGAAAAGAGAAACUGCUGUGUGCUGCAGGAGUCUGACGGUUGCUAUGGCGACUGGAAUGGAGGGAGCGGCAUCUUACACAUGCACACACUCACACCCGCACGUACACACACACGCACACACGGCAUAGUAUUUAUAUCUUGUCAUUUCCAUAGACUCGAUUAAAUCCUGAUAACAUCUGCAUACAUCAAACUGUCAAUUAAAGCAUGCACACCUCAGUGAGUUCUUUAUAUAUCAGUUAAUUAAACCGUGUUUACAUUUCUUGACAAAAUAUAACGACACACUCACAUAGUCUUUUUUUUUUUUUUAAUUAUGAGCCAAAUCUUUGUAAUGAGACGUAAUGCACAAUUCUCAAUCUCCCUUUUAGACUUUUCUUUUUCUAGCAAGGUUAGCUCCAAAACUAUGUCCUUUCUGAACGAUAAUUAUCCUUUUAUAGCCAUAUUUAAAAUCUAAUUUAAUAUAAGGUUAGUUUUACUAUUCAAGUCAUUAGUUUACGGUGCCGUGAAAAUGUAUUCGCCCUUUCCCUGAUUUCUUGAGGUGUGGAACUUAAUUGCUUUAGAUAUUCAAACAACAGUUUAAUAUAAGACAAUAACAACGAUAUACAUACAAUAUGUAGUUUUUAAGUGAUUGUCUCAUUUAUUACGUUAUCCAACACCAGCUGUCUGUGUGUAAAAAAAAAAAAAAGUAAUUGCCACCUUAGUUACACAAUCAACUAAUUAACCAGGAUUAACUGAUAAUUGCAUUCAAUUAGACUAGGCACACUCGAGCUUGAUAACCGCCAGCCCUGUUGAAUCUAAACAUCACUUAAAAUAAGUAGGCUAAAUGCUAACAAGCAGCACACUGUUGCCAGCGAUCAAAAUGAAUUCCGGAAAGGCUGAGAAGGAAAGUUAUUGAAAUAACCGUUUAAUUAUUUAUUUAAUUAACCGAUUAAUUAUUUAAUUAAUCCGUCUGGAUAAAAGCAUUUCUAAGGCUCCACGACUGCAGCGAAUCACAGUGAGAGCCAUUAUCUCCGAAUGGUGAAAACACUGGAACAGUGGUGAAUCUUCCCAGAAGUGUCCAGCCUACCAAAAUUCCUCCAAGAGCACACUGACCGCUCAUUCAGCAAGUCACAAAUGAACCCAGACAAACGUCUAGGGAUCUGCAGACCUUGCUCACCUCAGAUAAGGUCAGUGUUUUCUUUUUCGAAAGAAACUGGGCAGAAAUGCAAUGCAUAAGAGUUGACAAAAACCAGAGCUAACCAAGAGGAACAUAAAGCCUCCUCUCACAUUUGAAAAAAUAAAUAAAAUAAAAAACAUCGAUGCUUAUUUGGGAUAAUGUUCUGUUGACUGAUGAGUUGGGAGCUUUUUGGAAGACAUGGCUCUCAUUACAUCUGGUGUAAAGCUAACAUAUUUUACCAAGAACAUCAUAUAUACAGUCAAACACGGUGGUGGUAAUAUGAUGGUGUGAGGAUGCUUUGCUCCAUCAGGGCCGCAAAGGGUGACUUGAAAUGACUGACAGAAACAUGAAUUCUGCUCUCUACCAGAAAAUCCUGAUUGUCAUUGAAAGAAUGAAACCGUUUAGUGUGACACAUGCAAAAAAAAAAAACAUCGGAAAUCGGGAGGGGGCAAAUACUUUUUCACCGCACCUUUUUCUCACAGGAAACUGAUUAUCAUAGAGCUACUGUAUAUGUAAUGUUUGAGACAUAGGUUUUUACGAUGACAAAACUUAAGAAAAAGGUCCAACACAGAAAAUAGUAUGAUAGCACACAUGCUAAUCUAGAAACCUGCUUUGCAGUAAACAACAUUUUAUUGCAUGAAAGUAAACACAAUGAACUAUCAUUACCGUAAACAGGAUUGUACAGGAACUAGGAUUAUACUAAGCAUGCUAAGCAGAAAACUCGCAUUAUAUUGAGGAUACUACGACAGGAACUAGCACUGUAGACAUGCUAAGUAAUGACUAGCGUUAAACUGAACAUGCCGUUAUAAUUAGCAGGCUACACUGAUUAUUACGAUUAUUACAUGAAUAUGAAAGAAUUCUGUAUUGUACGGUAUCUAUCGAAAUAUAAUUAGGUAAUAUUAAUUAGUCUGCUGUAGUACAACUGUACACUGGGGAAAAAAAGAUAUUUAAUGGUUCGGUGAAUAAGACAAAAACUAAACUUUGCAUCAAAAAGUAAUUUAUUAGAAAUUGAUAUUAAAUUCGAAGUUUUAAGUUCUGGACUAAAUUAAUUUAUGCGAUAUGUGGUUAAAGCACAAAUUGUAUAUAUGUUUUAUAUAUAAAUUGUUUACUAGGAUAAAUUUACUAUUAUUUUGCUCACAAAACUACAAAAAAAAUUUUUUUGAAUGUUUACUUGAACUGUUUGGACUCCUGUGCAUGCGCAAAUCAGCAGAAGAGGAUCAUGACCAUAAUCGGUAUCGUUUAAAAACAUCCGAUGAUCAGGGCCGAUUAUGUCCUGUCAAUCAAAAGAGGGCGGGAAAACACAUCGAUUUGGUGCUGUGUGUAAAGAAGAUGCCUCUUGUGUGGAAUGACGACAAAACUGCAGUUUGUUUGUCGAGUCUAAUUUUUAUUUUUUGCCGAGCUGCUCGAGCUGAAUUAAAGGGCCGGUACACUAAUGAAAGAUUUCAACGAAGAGGAGUUGACAAAAAGGUAUCUAUUGCACAGAAAAAUAUAUUUGUAGAGUAGCGAGUUUCAUAUCCAGUUAAUGUUAAUAUAUCAAAAAGUUGAUAUUAUAUAUGACAUUAAUGAUGAAGUAGAAAUGCUUUUGUUUGUGGAGAGUGAAUGUGAGACUAACAGGAGGGGUUUUUUUUAGAACUCAGUCAAUGUUAAUAUGAAUUAAUAACAUUCAAUAAGAUAAGAAAUCUUCAUUUAAUCUUCAGAAUUGAGUUCAUGUGUUCAUGUUAAUUAGAGUGAUGUGUGUUCUGUUUAUGAGACCAGUUACUGUGAAACAACUUGUUGAAAUGGAGAGAAUAAAGACUUUUAUUUGCAUUUCUUUCAGAAUUUUGGAAUUCAUUAUUAUUCAUUUAAGAGAAGGUAUAAAAGGCAGAACCACCAAACUAUCGGUUAUCGGUAUCGGCCGAUAUCACUCUGAAAAUCGGUUAUCGGUAUCGGGAUGAGGAAUUUAGUAUCGGUGCAUCUCUAGUUUAAUGACAACGUUUAGAUUAAAACAGUCGCGUGAAGUUGAAAUGAAUACAGUCCACACCUAGUAAUGUAUUAAAGGGUCACGGUUUGUGAACGUGAUUUGUACAGGUGCUUGUGGAACUUUAAACUGAUGACAUUUUGAGCGCUAUGGAAGGGUUGUUUUGAAUAUUUAUUUAUCUUUUAAAUAAAGUCUAAGGCUAUUGUAUUAUGAAAUAUUUUUUUACACGUUCAAGUGUUCCAGUAAAGAUUUCUGGGGGUUUCUGAGUCAGGUGAAUGGUUUGUCAGUGGUUCGGUUGGUUUAAGUUUGGUGUAGUUUAAGUAUAGUCAUUUACCUGUAUGUGAGUACACGUACAGCUUGGAGUUCUACAUCUGCUUGGAGUUAUUGAAGGUGUUAAAGGAUAUUAUGUAAUAAUGAUCAGAAAUUAUUUGCGAAAGACGUUUCCAAGCGGGAACAAGAAAUGACGUGUACUUUUUACAGUGCUGGGAUUUCCAUAUACAUGAAAAAAAAAAAUAAAUCUGAGCUCCCUUACAUGAAAUAAUUAAGUAAUUAAAAAGAUUAAAUAAUAAUAAUAAUAAUAAUAAUAAUAAUAAUAAUAAUAAUAAUACAUCAUUAAAUAGUAAUCAAAAUAAUUACAUUAACGUAGAAAGGAGCAAACAUUUGAUUUAUUUGUUUGAUUUGUGUCACUUUUAAUCAUUUAAAUCAAGUAGAUUUUACUUGAAAUUGAAAAAAAAAAAGCAAACAAACAAAAUGCUAAUUGUUAAUGUUUAAAGCCAAAUAUAAAACAAAUGUAAAUUCAAUAAUAAGGUAAACAAUACUCAACAAUCAAGAGACUGUUAUAUGGUUUAAAGGUUACACGGUUUUUACGAGUAAUUUAGCAUGUAAACAGAAAAUGUACAAAUAAUAGCUAUAGUAAAUUUCAAAUUUGGGUAGUCUAUACUCAAGUGUGCAUCAUUACACAAACAAAGUGAAUGCAGUUUGUUGUCUCGGG